rnacentral:rRNA from 1 species
GUAGGUGGCAAGCGUUGUCCGGAAUUAUUGGGCGUAAAGCGCGCGCAGGCGGUCCUUUAAGUCUGAUGUGAAAGCCCACGGCUCAACCGUGGAGGGUCAUUGGAAACUGGGGGACUUGAGUACAGAAGAGGAAAGCGGAAUUCCAAGUGUAGCGGUGAAAUGCGUAGAGAUUUGGAGGAACACCAGUGGCGAAGGCGGCUUUCUGGUCUGUAACUGACGCUGAGGCGCGAAAGCGUGGGGAGCAAACAGGAUUAGAUACCCUGGUAGUCCACGCCGUAAACGAUGAGUGCUAAGUGUUAGGGGUUUCCCGCCCCCCUUAGUGCUGCAGCUAACGCAUUAAGCACUCCGCCUGGGGGAGUACGGCCGCAAGGCUG